rnacentral:lncRNA from 1 species
CAGGGCCCGCACCUUCGCGGCCCAGCCUUCUCCGUUCCCCUACUUCCCGCAGAGACGCCGGAUCUGUGAGCCAGCGGCAUGUCACAUGCCGUCCCGGAGCUCAACCGCCAAGGAUUCGUGAUUUCUUCUGUUGUUGCGCUCUUCCUCGACCCCGACGAGUGCACUUCCUCAACCUAGAAAGAGUGCUGCACUUCCUCCCCUCGAUGAACUGCAUCUUCACCGGUGUCGCUGGUGAGCAGUUCGCUUGUGUUGUUUCUGCUGAACCUCCCCGAGUGAGCAAUGUUGGGGUGCAGAUCUUUAUUAGUUCUUUUUUGUGUUGAAAAUUGCAGUGCUUAAUCCAGUUUUCUUGCAGCUCACAUCAGUGUUACUCCAAAAGAUGAGGUUCAGUUUCUUGCAUUCUGACGGCCACGCCGACGUGUGUGUGCGCGGGUGCAGCUUGCAAAAAAGCCCCCAAAAUCAACUCGGUGCUGAGUGUGCGGUUUGAUUUUUUUCCUACAAAAGAUGUGCUCUGGUGAAGUUCAUUGCUGAUGUAUCUCUAGUGCAGUUUUCAGAUAGGUGCUACUGCCUUAUGCACUCCUUCUUUGAUCCACUAUGGAGGCAAAAAACAAGACAGGAAAUAUUCUUGUUUAGAAGACCACUUGUCAAUUUGAUGUGUUCAAGAGCGAGUUGUACAGAUUUGUGUCCUAGAGGGAAAGCAGUUUGUGUGUGUAGUUUUUUUUAUGUCUGGAUGCAUUAUUUUUUGACACAUUUCACUCACUUGCCAUGUGCAGUAAGAGACUACAAAAGAAAAUGCAGUGCACUCUUGUCUACAGUACACCAUUAUAAAAAUGUAUUAAAAAAGUGCACUCUGAUCCAAAGUGUUCUGAAGCUCACUUGGCUCGCGGCUACAGUCCCAAAAACAUGUUAAUGAGAAACACUCUCCCAAAAAAAUGUUUAACAUGAAAAAGUCGAUGUGAAGCGCACUUCACUUCUUCAUCAGAGAAAAUUGACAUCCGGCAAAAACAUGUAGUGCACUUGCCCGUCACUUCACUUCUUCAUCAGAGAAAAUUGACAUCCGGCAAAAACAUGCAGUGCACUUGCCCGUCUGAUGCAGUGCGAUUUUCAAUCCAAAGCGAAACAUGCGUACACACGAUGAUUUUCAGUCUGCUUGAUGCAGUGCGGUUUUGGUCUGAAGCAGUGCAUUGAUCUAUCUGAUGCAGCGCACUUCGUUGUCGCGUACACACGAUGAUUUUUACUUCGUUUUUAUGCAGUGCGGUUUCUGUCUGAAGCAGUGCACUCAUCUGUCUGAAGCAGUGCACUUCGUUCGUCGCGUACGCAUGACAAUUUUCAGUCUAUCAGAUGUAGUGUGGUUUUCAGUCUGAAGCAGUGCACUAUCUGUCUGAUGCAGUGCACACGACGAUUUGGGUGUCGCAAAAAACAGAGUGUCCGCACUUCCGUAAUUUUCAAAUUGCUCUUAAACCGUAAGGAAUUAGAGGUAGCGUUCUACAUGAAAAAGUUGUGUCUCAAUGAUAUCUUUCCAACAGCGUACAAUUUGAAUCAUUUCGACUAGCGGUUUGUAAAAAAUUCUCAAAAAACGGCCGCUGCCUCUCGUAGUCAGCCGCACAAUUUUCAAAAUUAACUAAAAACCGUAAGGAAUCUCAAAACCAUUUCUACAUAUGAAAGUUGCGCCUUGUCCAUAGCUUUCCAAUGUCAUAUUACACGCCUCGUUUCGACAAACGGUUCAAAAACUAGAGCGAAAACAGUACCGAAAAUUGCAAAAAUUUCAAAAAAACGUAAUUCCGCGAUUUAGUAAAUUUGAAACUGCUCUUAAACCGUAAUGAAUUAGGAAACAUAAUAGAUAUGAAAAAGAUGCGCCUUGACGAUAUCUUUCCAACGGCGUAUCAUUUUCUUUAUUCCGAUGAGCGGUUUAGAAAAAAUCACGAAAAUACGUUUGCUCCCACUCGCCAUCCGCCGCACCGUCUUUGAAACUGCUCUUAAACCGCGAGGAAUCUCAAAAAGUGUUCAACAUAGAGAAGUUGCGCCUAAUCCAUAGCUUUUCAACGAUAUAUUAUACGCCUCGUUCCGAUAAACGGUUAAAAAAUUAGAGCGAAAACAGUACCAAAAAAAAUAACGCGUGCAGUUUUUCCGACAAGAAGUUCAUUAGUCUCUAUUGCAGUGCUCGUCGUCAAAAUGAUGCAGUGCGCUUCUGUUGAGCGUGCAGUGCCGAAGUGGUGUGCAGAAUAGUUAUUCUGCUAAUAUUAGCAGAAUAGACCGUCUAUAUAUAUAUAUAUAUAUAUAUAUAUAUAUAUAUAUAUAUAUAUAUUAACUGCACCUAUGGGGACUAGGACCCGCAUGAAGGACCACCAGAAGGACCCACAUGCAUCCAUGGAAUGAGGAAACCCAUCACCAUAAUAAGCAGAACAAAUUAAAUUAACUGCCCCCAUAGGUGCUUUAGUAGUAAACCCUUGUCUUUGGGUUGACAGACUAGGACCCUGAUAACCUAGAAGUAUAGGGGAUCACAACAGUUUUCGAGGGUAGAGUAUUCAACCCAAAUUUAUUGAUUCGGCACAAGGGGAGCCAAAGAAUACUUGUAAGUAUUAGCAGUUGAGUUGUCAAUUGAACCACACCUGGAGACUCAAUAUCUGCAACAAAGUGAUCAGUAGCAAAGUAGUAUGGUAGUAUUAUAGUAGUAGUAACGAUAGCAACAGUAACAGUAAUAGUAGUAGCAGCAGUUUUAUAGCAGUUGCAACGGUAGUAACGGAAGUAGUAACUUAGCAAGAACAAUAUGUGAAUAGCUCAUAGGCAUUGGACCGGUGAUAACGUUGGAUAAUAUUCAUCAUAUAACAGUCAUAACCAAGGGUGACAUAGAACUAGCUCCAAUUCAUCAAUAUAAUGUAGGCAUGUAUUCCGUAAAUAGACAUACGUGCUUAUGGAAAAGAACUUGCAUGACAUCUUUUCUCCUACCCUCCCGUGGCAGCGGGUGUCGGUGUCAAAACCGGCGGAUCUCGGGUAGGGGGUCCCGAACUGUGCGUCUAAGGCUAAUGGUAACAGGAGGCGGGGGACACGAUGUUUACCUAGGUUCGGGCCCUCUAGAUGGAGGUAAUACCCUACUUCCUGCAUGAUUGAUCUUGAUGAUAUGAGUAUUACAAGAGUUGAUCUACCACGAGAUUGUAGAGGCUAACCCUAGAAGCUAGCCUAUGCUUAUGAUUGUUGUUGUCCUACGGACUAAACCCUCUAGUUUAUAUAGAUACCAGAGGAGGCUAGGGUUACACAGAGUCGGUUACAGAGAAGGAGAUCUACAUAUCCGAAUUGCCAAGCCUGCCUUCUAUGCAAAGGAGAGUCCCACCCGGACAGGGGACGAAGUCUUCAAUCUUGUAUCUUCAUAGUCCAACAGUCCAGCCAAAGUAUAUAGUCCGGCUGUCCGAGGACCCCGUAAUCCAGGACUCCCUCAGUAGCCCCUGAACCAGGCUUCAAUGACGAUGAGUCCGGCGCGCAGAUUGUCUUCGGCAUUGCAAGGCGGGUUCUUCUCGAAAAUCCUUGAGUACCUGUUGUAACGAGUAGUGUCCGGCUUCCCAUCAAUGUUGCACUCCUCGGCUUGUGAGCUUUAAUAAUGGCUAUCUCCACGUGUCGAGCGAAUGCGAGAAGUCGUGGCAUUUUUACAUUUGCCACCCUGACCAUGUAAGUGAAUCAUCUAUUUAAAGAGACGGGGAUCCUCAGAUCCAAAUCACACCAUCCUCCCCUAGCGAGUAUCCAUCAGAGCGCGCCCGGAAGAAACCAUACCAUCAUGGCUGGCCAUCGCAGCUCCUCCUCUCGCUCCCGUAGCACUACGCCAGGCGAUUUGGGAGAAGUGUUCCGUUCCCCAUAGCGGAUUGGUAGAGUUACAGACCCACGGGUUUCUCCCAACUACAUACAUGGUCCCUGUCCGAGCCGGACUAGCCACCUACAAUGGUGGAGAGCAAGCAGAGAGUUUUCCCAACCCGUCCAAGGGGGAGCAGGUAUGCCUUGUCCAUUACUUGCUGAGGGGACUUGGAUUUCCAAUCCAUCUGUUCCUCCGCGGGCUCCUGGAGUUCUAUGGCCUCCAGCUGCAUAACUUCACCCCCGCCUCCAUUUUACACAUCGCCGGCUAUGUCGCCUUUUGCGAGCUAUUUCUGGGCUGCGAAGAUCAUUUCGAGCUAUGGAAGAGGCUAUUCUGCAUUGUACCCCGCACUUAGGAGGGGUCAAUAUAUCAAGUGGGCAGAGCCGAAAUAGGGCGCAUCGCCGGGACCGGAUACCUGUUCGGUACUCUGAAGAAGUCAUCCGAAGACUGGCCUUAUGUCGGUGUUCUGGGAACGGGGGUCCCCAGACUUACCUGCCUGCGGCCUGCGGCGUGGCUCAAGUGGUGGCCCAGUACAACCCAUCUUCGUUAGCACAAGACUCAAGACCCUCGCGAGGGGCCAAGCCUCCCGGGGCGGACGACACAAGGCUUCCUCAGGGACGGCCUCGCCUGGCAGGCUCGCGAGGAGGCAGAGAGAUCAUUGCAGGGUACCUCGCAAGGUGCUCGUGACGCAAGUCAUGACGAUCAAGACCAGGCGGGCGCCGGCGUGCGCAGUGUCCUUGUUUCCUCUUUUGUGCAAAGGGGGCAAGCACAGACGUGGAGUACCAAGGCAUCACGCAAAGGUUGCCAUUUCAGUGCAACGAGACCAAGACCAGCGGAGCGGCAGGAUGGAGGUCACCGUGGAGCCCAAGACGGCGUCAUCGCCAGUGCUUUUGGCAGCCGAAGACCAACUUUAGUUAGGAUAACUUGUACUAUAUGUUCCCCUUCAAAAUGGCCGUUGUUGGCGCCCUUCCCGCUCAAUAUUUGGGAAGAGGCCCAGUGCCUCUAUAAAUAGGUCUAGCCACCACAGAGUAGAGGCAUCUGAUCGAGUGCUCAUUAGAGAGAGAGAGAGAGAGAGAGAGAGAGAGAGAGGCGAUCGAACUCGCCCAAGCAGUUCAUCGCACCAGCUCAAGAACACCUCUCGCGAGUCUGUUCUCCCUUUGUACUAUUCAUCAUCAGCCCCUAAGGCAAUCCACCACACCACACACUGGAGUAGGGUAUUACACCACAACGGUGGCUCGAACCAGUAUAAAUCUCGUGUCCCUUGCGUUGUUCAUCGUUUUCAGCCUAGAUCUCACGAGGCGAUCGGACGUAGAUCGGUAGGGGAGAGAUCUUCGUGCGCACCCCAGAGUUUGAACCUUAAGGGUCUGCCGAAACCCAACAUCCGACAUUUGGCACGCUAGGUAGGGGUGCGCCGGAAUCUUUCUUCCGCUGCUUCGCGUUCGGUCUUCCGUCGUGUCCAUGGCUGACGCUCGCCGAGCUCGCACCGAGCGUCGGGCUGCUCUUGCCGCCCGCGUCGCCCAGACGGCUCCCGUCGGUGUGUGUCCCCGCCGUUCCCCGUCGCCUGCCGCCAACGCCACCACCGGCCCGGCGGGGAAUGAGUAGCAGGCCUCAUAUCUGCACCCCUUGGUGCGGCGGGAAGGCCGUACCGCUACCCCGUCGCUGACCCCAGCCGGUUCGUCGUCCCACGCCCGUCGCGCCCCCAUGGACGCACACGCUGUGUUGCUCCUGGCGCGUGAGCUCCUGCACUACCGACCCGUCGACGACCUCUACGAGGACUGGCUCGCCCGCAUCACCGUGCUCGUCAGCGCUGGAGGGGGCUCUCUAUGCCGUCCCUCUCGCUGCCUCGCCCUCCGUCCUGCGCCGAAGGCGCACAUCAGUAGGUGCCUCCGCCACCUCCUCCCCAAGAAGGCACCCUGGCUCCAAGGCACGCGGCCCCAGGAUGAGAUCCACCGCGUCUGGCACCCACGCAACCAGAGAGGAGCUGCCAAGAGAUCCCUCGUCCCCAAGACGGUGCUCGCGUGCUCUCAGCACCGGUGCGCCAUGACCACAUUCCUGCGCCACCACGUCAAGACCCCGCGCUGCUCCAGGCAGCGGCGCGUGGGAAUCCCCAGGAGCAUGCCCAACACCAACAAAGGGCUCCGGUGGCCACCGCAGGCUGCCGUGCCUUCACCCCCGAGCUACGCAGUGUCGCCUGGCCAGGCACGUUCAAGCCUGACCUGCCUCCUCGCUACGACGGCAUUGCAGACCCCGCGGAGUUCCUACAGCUCUAUGAUUUGGGCAUCGAAGUCGCCAACAGGGACGAAAAGGUCAUGGCGAACUGGUUUCUCAUGGCACUCAAGGACGGCGCCCGCAACUGGCUCCUGAACCUGGCUCUUGGCACGAUCUCCUCCUAGGAUGAGAUGCGCACCCGCUUCAUCGCCAACUUCCAGGGCACUCGCGACCGUCCGCCGGUCGUGGGUGACCUGCGCCGUAUCAAGCAGCAGCCUGGAGAGACCUUGCUGAAGUACAUCCAGCGCUUCAACAACGCUCGCCUCAAGAUCCCCAAGGUGACUGAGGAGGCCAUCAUUUCGGCGUUCUCUGAUGGCGUUCACGAUGUCAAGAUGAAGGAGGAGAUGGCAAUCCAUGAAGACCUGUGCACGUCUCUGGAGUUGUUCAACCUGGCGACCAAGUGCGCAAGGGCUGAGGAAGGGCGCCUCUCCCUUCUCGAGCUCCCAGCAGCAGACCCAGAAGAGAAGAAAGCCAAGGCCAAGGAUGUGAAGCGUAAGGGAGCAGCUGUGCUCGCAAUGGAGCCGGGCACAAAGCGUGGCAGGGACUAGUCGGAGUCGUCCAAGGGUAGCCGGUACUACGUGUACCAUGAUCUCCACACCCACAACACCAACGAGUGCCAAGAGCUCAGGGCCGUGCGAGAAGGCCGUGUCGGUCGACGUCCCCAGUGCAACGAUCGGGGCUACGGCCGAGGUGGAGCAAGAGGUGGAGGAUGAUGGGACGACCGUGGCCCUCACCAAGGGUGGAGUGACCGACCUCGCGAGGACCGCUUUCAGGACCAGCCUCGCGAGGGAGCUUGGAGAGAUCAGCCUCGUGAGGAUUGCCCGCAAAGGCAACGUAGGCCUUCCUCCUCUGCCACCACCACCAAGAAGGAAUGAAGACCAUCAUCAGGACGAGGGGCUGGGGGCUUCCAGGAGCCACGUACAAUCACUUGCAUCCUGGGCGGCGCUCAGGCCCCAGCCUCACAGCGCAUCUUCAAGAAGUUUGCUCGCGAGGUGAAUGCAGUCCUCCCCAAGCUUGAGGCCAUGCGCCCCCUUAGGUGGACUGCGUGCACCAUCACGUUCAGCUCAGCAGAUCAGCUCAAGUGCGCGGUGACGGCCGGCGUCCUCCCAAUUCUCUGUUCCCCAGUCAUCAGCAAUGUGCAAGUCACCAGGACCCUCAUCGAUGACGGAGCAGGACUCAACGUUCUGUUCGUCGAGACGUUCAACAAUCUCCAAGUGCCAUAUGAUCAACUUCAGCCAACCAAGCCCUUCUCAGGAGUCACCGAUUGUUCCACUGUCCCGAUAGGGCAGGUCCGCCUACCUGUCACCUUUGGAUAGUGUAACAACUACCACACCGAGCUCAUUGACUUCGACGUCGCUCACAUUCGCCUGCCGUACAAUGCCAUCCUUGGGUAUCCGGACCUGGCCAAAUUCAUGGCAGUGACUCACCAUGGAUACAACAUCCUCAAGAUGCCAGGAAGUGGCGGGGUCAUCAUGGUUCCCUAUGAAGAGAAGGACGUGGUGUGCUCCCGCGAGCGCGCCUUCCAAGCCGCGUCAAUUGAAGACCCAGACAGCAAGAGUGGAAACCUCCCUGGAGCAGCUCCCAAGAAGAAGAAGACAUCACCUGGCUCACGGCCUCAGGAGGCAGGCGCCUCCGGAGGUGCUGCGUCAGGACAUGCGCCCGUCCAAGGGGCGCCACACGCCAUCGCAUAGGAAGGCGCGCCCGACGCCCUCCACGGGCAGUGCUCGGGGGCUCUCUCCUGGGGAGCCACCGACUUUACCGAGAUCACGAGGGAGGCGCUUGGGCACCACUUGGAGGCGUGCUUCGCGGCACGCUUCCCUCAGGAAGGCGUAAGGAAAGGAGGGCCCAACCCUCAGGAGUUCAUCAGCAAGGCCGCCCAGGAGUUGGAGGAAUCAAGAGUCAUGCACGGCAACCGCCGCCUGCCCAGCAUAGCUCCCCAUCCAGGCGAGGAUGGCGGGCUGCGCGUCUGCAUCAACUACCCAGGGCUCAAUCGAGUUGCUUCUCAGGAGUGCUUCUGGCCUUCAUGCACGAGGCGUUGCGCGGGUCCACCGCACAACUACGUUCGCAUGCCCUUCGGCUUGCCGAACGCGACUGCAGCCCACCAGCGCCUGAAGGAGCAUUCUGGAAGCCUAGGUGGCCAAGCAUCGCGCGUUCAUGGAGGAGAUGGAGAUGGACCUCAGCGGGCCGCCCGGACCUCCUGAGCCUCCCGAGGCUCUGGGUCCCGAGGGCUCGUGAGGAUAGGCUUCCUCGCCCUGCACUGCCAGCUGCACCGACAAUUGUUCUGCAACAGUAUCAGGUGACUUCUUUUCAGUUUACAUUUCAGCUGGGAGCGCCCCCAGAGCUGCAUCAUUCCCAGGUCGCAUGGGUCCGUCCCUACGGCAUGUACCCAUUUUGCUUAUGUCUUCUGCUUACCUUGUUGGGGGCGUCCCUCGGGCUGCAUCAUCCCCAAGCUGCUCGGGCCUGACCCAGUGGCAUUUGCUUCCUCUGCAUCUAUCUAAGUGGAUUUGCUCCUUCAUGAUUAACCUGCUUGAGAUAAUCGCCUGCUAGAUUGACACCUACCUUUGGAGCCGCUCGCUCUGGCACGGCGCUUGCGCAUGGGUCCGUCCCUGCAACACCAACAAAUCAGAGCGGUCGAGCUCUGGCCGCGGCAGCUUAGCGCCAGCUCACCAGGCCCUCAGUGCCCUAAUCACUCCGUCGGAGCAACCAAUGGCUGGCUGCCAACCGUAAUGGCACGCCUUGUUUUCCCUCAUGAUUGGUGUGCAGGAUCCGCUUCAGGAAUAGCGUGGGGGGCGUCGCAAGCUCUCUCUCCCUCUCUCCCAUACGAUCCGCUCGCAUGUUAAAAGGGGGGAGCCUGAGCAUCGCGACUCAUGAGCUCUUACUGGCUCUCCAGCCCUCACCCCCUAGCCAUGACCCACGGAAUCACGACCUAUCAUACCAGCGGCGGCUGAGCUCGCUCGAGGGCCGGGACUUGAGGACGUAGAGCAUGAAGGAAAGUGCGGGGAAGAGGGGAGAAGCUCACGAGGGCCUGACCCAGCAACACCCCAGCUGCCGGCGUGCGGGCUUGACACCUCGCCGAAGAACGACUCCAAGCUCAUGAGAUAAGUCACGCUUCAGAAAAGCUAAAACAACGCGACGCUAAACCCUCGCCUAUUGCAGCUCUGUCACGGCGAUGCCGCCUACCUUUCUCUCCCAGCGGAGGCUGCUUGAGUGCUAAAGGGGACCUCCUGAGCAUCGCGACUCAGGGGCUCUUACUGGACCUUGGGCCGCUCACCUCCUGGCCUUGACCACGGCAUCGCGACCUGGCAUACCAGCAACACUUGAAGCCUGCCUGGGGACCGGGACCUGUCAGCGUAGAGCACCAAGCCCUCGCGAGGAAAGAAAGGGGGAGCCGAGCCGGGAUAGGACAAGCAUCUCGCAUCGAUUCAUAAUAAGGAUAUACAGCUCGCAAAAGAUAUGGCAGGCGCCUUACAUACCCUCGCGGGGUGCUACUAUGAUCCUUCGCAGGGAGCAAAAGGUGCUAAUCCUAAGGAGCGUUAACUACACGUGCCUCUGCAGGACACGCCAUCAUCAAUAGUGGGCCGACAGGCGCUGGCGCCAACCCCAUCCAGAUCAGUGGCGCCGACGGCCUGACGGGGCUGCCCUGCUCCAGGCGCGACGCGAGCUCGGGGGCUCGUAGCUGGCGUCGCUCAUCUCCGGAGUCGCAUGAAGCUCGGGGGAGUCGCUGGAUUCUCCGAUUCCUCGGCUGCUGCCUGAGAAGCCGCUGGGGAGGCGAUUGGCCGGCCUGGCCCUCGCCACAUCGGUACCCCGGCUGCUUUCCUCGGGGUAGCAAUCCAGCCGGCGUCCUUCCGUGUCGAAGACCUUGAAGAACAUCAGGGAGGCGCCAUCAUAUUCCAGAUGAAUUACGAGGGCGCCCCUUGUCUGGCAGACCCGGGCGAUCUCGCCCCAGCCCCGGGUCAUGAAGACCUUGCCCGGAGCGAUGACCACGACCUCCGCUCUGGUUGCAAGGGUGCUGCAGCCAGCAUGAUGCAGCCAGAGCUCCAGAGACCCACUCGGCGGCAUCUCGAAGGCGAAGGAGGGAGGAAGGCGAAUCCAAGAUCGCGGAGGCAUGGCGACAUGAAGCACGAACUCGCGGAAGAACCCUCGGGGUGGACGCCAGGGGUGACGAUGCGCACCGCCGUUACUCGCCGGCGUCGCCAUCGGCGUUGUCGGUGUUGCUUGGCAUCUUCUCCUCCAGGGCCCUCAAUUUGGGCAUACAAGGGCAGCGGAAACUAGGGCGGCGGCCGCUCAUACCAGGGCCGCGACGACCCCUUCCAAGCGACCACGUCGCGGCGGCCGGGGAUAGGCCGCUUCUUCGGCGGAAGUGGGUCAGGACCCUCUCGGGCGGCCUUUCCCUUAUCUUCCGCGGAAAACCGGCGGUUUGGCGCCAUUGGCGUAAGGUGAAGCAAGGGCGAGGAAGAAGAAGUAGGAAAGGAGCAGGAAGAGAUGGACUGCGGGGGCUCUCGCCCGUCUGUACUUAUAGUCCGGAGGAGGCCAACCGUCGGCCACCACGAUCUCAGGUAAUCAUGACCCAUUUUUGCAUGCAGGGACUUGUCAGUCGAGCGGUUGCCGAGGCAGCAUGGGGAAGCGGAGACGCCCACGUCCAAUCAACCGCCACGCGGCGCCCAAGGCCGCAGGCUGCUGGGGCCCGCGGCGCUCCGCACUUGCCCCUUCGCUUCUCCGCUAAGCCAAGUCCGAGCGCGCCUAGGGCCCGGGGGCUACUAUCGGCCUUCUGGGAACAGGGGUCCCCAGACUUGCCUGCCUGUGGCCUAUGGCGUGGCUCAAGUGGUGGUCCAGUACAGCCCAUCUUCGUCAGCACAAGACUCAAGACCCUCGCGAGGGGCCAAGCCUCGCAGGGCGGACGACACAAGGCUUCCUCAGGGACGGCCUCGCCAGGCAGGCUCGCGAGGAGGCGGAGAGAUCAAGGCAGGGUACCUCGCGAGGUGCUCGUGAUGCAAGCCACAACGAUCGAGACCAGGCGAGCGCCGGCCUGCGCAGUGUCCUUGUUUCCUCUUUGGUGCAAAGGGGCAAGCACAGACGUGGAGUACCAAGGCAUCAGGCAAAGGUUGCCAUUUCAGUGCAACAACACCAAGACCAGCGGAGCGGCAGGAUGGAGGUCACCGUGGAUCCCAAGACGGCGUCAUCACCAGUGCUUUUGGCAGCCGAAGACCAACUUUAGUUAGGAUAACUUGUACUAUAUGUUCCCCUUCAAAAUGGCCGUUGUUGGCGCCCUUCCUGCUCAAUAUUUGGGAAGAGGCCCAGGGCCUCUAUAAAUAGGUCUAGCCACCACAGAGUAGAGGCAUCUGAUCGAGUGCUCAUUAGAGAGAGAGAGAGGCGAUCGAACUCGCCCAAGCAAUUCAUCGCACCAGCUCAAGAACACCUCUCGCGAGGCUGUUCUCCCUUUGUACUGUUCAUCAUCAGCCCCUGAGGCAAUCCACCACACCACACAGUGGAGUAGGGUAUUACACCACAAUGGUGGCCCGAACCAGUAUAAAUCUCGUGUCCCUUGUGUUGUUCAUCGUUUUCAGCCUAGAUCUCACGAGGCGAUGAGACGUAGAUCGAUAGGGGAGAGAUCUUCAUGCACACCCGAGAGUUCGAACCUUAAUGGUCUGCCGGAACCCAACAUCCGACACCUUCGGAGUGGCUUUAUAUGGAGGACGUCCCCCUUCUGGACCCUAUUCGGAUGGGCCUUCCUGAGUUUGCAAAUGCUCCGUUGAAGAAACGCCACAGUUGGUGCCCCCAGAGCCCCCAGGAGGAAGAUAACAGAGAUGUCCUUUUCCUGAUGGACAGGAUAAAGAUGCUGGCCAAAUCAGGACUGACAAUAGUUGAGGUUAUGUCAAUAUGUAUAAUGCGGGGAGUGCAUCCACUUCAAUAUCGGGGGAAACCCAUGUGGCACUUCAAUGGAGAAGACGAUGCCACCCGCUGCGGCUGUAAAGGUCCGGACUCCGCCGCCGCUCUAGCAAAAAUACUGUCUUAUAUGUACAAAGGAGAGGAAGAGGAGUUCAUCCGUAUUAUGCCACGGGAUGGAUUCUCCAUGUACAACCCCCCAAGCUGGGUGAGCUGCUAUCUUUUAUUCCAGUCUUUCCCGCAUUCUUCAUCACAAAUAUUUACCUUGCCAAUGCAUAGCAGGAACUGCAAAAAGCUAUGAGGGAGGUCCACAGCCCGUUUCCACAGCCAGAGGACUCGACCGGGCGCUCGACCCCGGACUUGAAGAAGAUCCGGACAUAUUUGUGGAGCUCGUUGAUAGGACAUUUUAUAAGUUAAGCUGUGAUGGUGCCUUGGUGGCCCUCAUUGCUGAUUAUCCUGGCCUACUCCCUGCAUCACAUGUAAGUAAAACCGGCAUCCCGACUUCCAAGAAGGAUCCCCUCUUUGCGCCUUACUCAUCGCACAUGUAUUGCGCUUUACAGGGAAGGCCAUCGGGACGCCGGGCCGAACCCGUGGUGACUCGUCAACAAGGGGCACCAAAGCCGGGUAGGCUUAAAAGGGAGGCGGUCAGAACCAAGACGCCUUCGCAGAGGUAUGAUUAAAAACCUGCUAUGUAAUUAUUGUCUUUUAAAAUAUAACAAUGUCCAUGGUUUCCUGGCAGAAAAAGCGCUUGCCGGACUGUAUCCGGAGAGCCUGCCGGCCACGCCUCCACCAUCCGGACUCCGAGGCCGGGCUCAAGGGCGGAGGUCAAUGCAGGGACAACGCUGGACGGUCCUCCUACAGAGGAUGCGGAUAGAUUAUCUGCUACAAACUCCAAAGUGGAGAGUGCCAUGAAUCAGAGGCACCGACGGGCCACACUACGCGACCCUAAUUUCUCUGAAGAGGCAUUCAAUUCCUUCAACUCAGGGGACGCAUACAUCCGAGCUGCUCAAGAUGGCCUUGCCAGAGCCACGGAUCAGUAUGUAAAGGAUAUACGGGUAAGAAAAUCUUAUAAGUAUGUAUAUCAUUAGCUCCUGAGACUUGAAACAGUUGGCACAACUGAUUUAAGGAUCAUUGAAUGCAUAGGUUCUUACAGAGAAGAAUACCCAGCUGUCUAAAGAGCUGGAGGAGUGCAAAGCCCAGCUGCGGGCCGUAGUUGCCGGAAUGGAGGAGUCCACGAAGGCCCCAUCUGGUAAUACUUGUCUUGAUUGAAAAGAAUGUAGUGGCAUGUACCAAUUAGUAUUCAGCAUGAAUGCAAAUCUGACAAUAGAUUCUGUAGAUAAUCCCGGAGGUAAUGCGGAGAUCGUACCGGGGGAUGAGCAACAUGCUCGACGACAGCUAAAGGCUGGCAAGCGCGUCCUUACAAAGGUUAUACGGGAGAAAUAUAAUCUCCAGGACGCGAAUACCCGACUGGACGUCGAAUUAAGGGAUGUUCGGGCCCAUCUUGCUAACUCCGUGAAGGAGAAUAAGGGGCUUCGACGCGACAUUUUUAGUAAGUGCUCGAAUGAACCUUGAUAAAGUUUGGCGAAGAAGCGAGCUAAUAGAAUUAUGUCUGUAGGUAUGCUGACACGUCGUCCCAAAGAGGAGAUGCCCGGAUCUGCAGGCGAUCUUCUGCAAGAGCUCUCCCAACUGCACGGAUAAAUUCAGCAGGUGAUGCAGGGUAUUGCCCAGGCCUUGUGGUUGUCCGCCUCCCUGCUAGGAGGCAUGUCAGAGCUUGUAGAGAUGCUCAAGGGAGCGUGGCGGCGCUUCCGAUUAUGGAAGAUAUCGGCCUGCCGACAAGGUGCAAGGGAAGCCUGGGCCAUGGUGAAGAAGCGAUACACCAAGGCUGACCCGAACCACAUGGCCAAGGUCGGACCUGUAGGGUCGGAUGGGAAAGAGAUCCCCGUUAAUCUGGUAUAUGACCAGGUAGCAUUAGCCGCAAAGUAUUCCCAACAGUAUUGUAGGCUAUUCAGCCUAUUGGAUGGUAUAGAAGAAGAAUUUAGUCAGUCUAAGUGACUUUGUACUUCAAAGGACAUAUUUUGUCCCUAGCCGUAUUGUAAAUCAUUUGUCUUGGCGGACCUUUUCACUUCAACCUCCGGACCCGACAGUCUGGAGUGAAUCCGAAUACCCGCUCAGUUAUGUAAAAACUGGGGUAUGCGUGGAAACCAAGCGUAGGGGUCAUAAGUGCUUGAACAGACAAGUACCCAACUAGUUAUGUUAUAUUACAUGGAUAGUAAGAAACAUCUUCCAGGGAGAAUAGUUCCGUUAGGGGUUCCUUUCCAUGGGUACGCAUGCAUUGAUGUGCAUGUCCGAACUGUGAACGAAGACGCGGAAUAUGAAACAUCGGGGGGGUUAUAUUUGUAAAUUGGUAAAGAACAUCUUUUGUUCACCAAUCAAAUAUUCCCUUAAGAACGCUAGCUUUCGGCUUCACCCAGUCUGAGGUACACAUCCGGCUGACCCGGCAGUAACAAUCGCAGAGGUGGCUCCCCUUAUGCCCUAGCCAAAUUAACGGGAACGUAGGGCAUAAACGCAAGAGCCAGGCAACCUAGCUUGGCCAAAACUUAAGUCAUAUCGAUGCAUAUAAUGGUGAAAAAAGGUACAUAUGGAGAAGUGAUGCAUAUGUGGCGGGCAUAAAGCCCAGAAGAUAAUUACAUUAAGCUUAUGUAUAAGAAGCCCCCAGGUAUAUUGAGCACGCAUAGCAUGGCAGGAGUGUGCGAUUGAAGCACACUUAAAGCUUUUAAGGCUAUAUAAAAAAGGAAAGAAAGAAAGAAGGAGGAUAUAACUUAAAAUAAAGGGCGAAGGUAGGGAGACGAACUCAGAGUUUGGCACUAGGUGUAGAAUCUUUGGAGUCUGGACGCGUUCCAUGGGUUCGGCUCAAGUCGAUUAUCUGAUGCAUCACGCAGACGGUACGCUCCUCCGGUGAGAACUUUAUAAAUGAUGAAGGGACCCUCCCACUUGGGCUUGAGCUUGUCCUUUUUCUUCUCCGGUAGGUGUAGAACAAGUUUGCCAAUGUUAUAAGUUUUGGCCCGUACUUCUCUGCUUUGAUACCUUCGAGCCUGCUGCUGAUAGAAUGUGGAACGGGCCAUUGCAACGUCACGCUCCUCCUUCAGGGCAUCUAAACUGUCCUGCCGAUCCAGCUCGACUUCUCUCUCUUCGUACAUGCGCACUCGAGGUGAGUCAUGAAUGAUAUCACAGGGUAGCACUGCCUCUGCGCCGUACACCAUAAAAAAUGGUGUGUAUCUGGUGGUGCCAUUUGGCGUGGUCCGCAGCCCCCAUAGUACGGUGUCGAGCUCCUCGACCCAAUGCGUAUCUGAUUCCUUCAAGGAUUGCACUAGUCUGGGUUUGAUGCCGCUCAUAAUAAGACCAUUUUCUCGUUCGACUUGACCGUUUGUUUGGGGGUGAUAGAUAGAGGCAUAAUCGAGCUUAAUGCCCAUUUUGCCUCACCAAGUUUUCACCUCGUCGGCUGUGAAGUUGGAGCCAUUAUCUGUGAUGAUGCUGUGGGGGACACCGUAAUGGUGUACGACCCCGGAUAUGAAGUUUAUCACUGGUUCGGAUUCGGCCGUUUUAACUGGUUUUGCCUCUAUCCAUUUGGUGAAUUUAUCUACCAUGACCAACAAGUAUUUUUUCUUAUGACUUCCUCCUUUAAGGGGUCCAACCAUAUCAAGCCCCCAGACCGCAAAGGGCCAGGUUAUGGGGAUUAUUUGGAGAGCGGUAGGUGGCAUGUGGCUUUGAUUUGCAAAAAGCUGGCAACGGACGCAAUGUUGGAUGAGGUCCUGUGCGUCUGCUCGGGCUGUUGGCCAGUAGAAACCUAUAUGGAAGGCCUUGCUUACAAGGUCCCAAGUUGCAGCGUGAUGGCCGCCGAGUCCAGCAUGAACUUCGGCCAGUAGCUGUCGUCCUUCCUCUUCGGAGAUGCACCUUUGGAGCACUCUGGUCGCGCUUUUCUUAUAAAGCUCUCCCUCGUGGACCUUGUAGGCUUUAGAGUGUCGCACAAUGAAACACGCUUCAUUUUGGUCCUCAGGGAGUUCUUGCCUAUUUAGGUAGGCUAAGAAGGGUUCUAUCCACGGGGCGAUGACAGCCAUAAUCACGUGGGCCGAAGGUGUUAUUUUGGUGGCGGAGCCUCCGAUUACGUCAGAGUGUUCGGGAUCUGGGGUUGUGUUCGGAUCCGGACUGGUAUUGCUGGUCUCCCCUUCCCACACCAUGGAUGGCUUGGACAGCCUUUCCAAGAAGAUAUUAGGUGGGACGGCGUCGCACUUAGCACCGAUGCUGGCGAGGAUAUCCGCCGCUUGAUUGUUUUCUCGGACCACAUGGUGGAAUUCGAGCCCCUCGAACGGAGCUGACAUUUUGAGGACGACAUUGUAGUAAGCCGCCAUUUUUGGGUCCUUCGCGUCAAAGUCUCCAUUUAUUUGAGAUAUUGGAAGGUUUGAAUCCCCACGCACUUCUAGGCGUUGAAUGCCCAUGGAGACUGCCAUCCGAAGACCAUGCAGUAGAGCCUCAUAUUCGGCUGUGUUGUUGGAAUCUGUGUAUAGUAUUUGGAGUACGUAUUGGACUGUAUCUCCGAUGGGGGAUGUCAGGACAAUGCCUGCCCCCAGACUAGCCAGCAUCUUAGAGCUGUCAAAGUGCAUGAUCCAAUUGGAGUAUGCGCCGUACUCUUUAGGGAGUUCGGCUUCUGUCCAUUUGGCGACGAAGUCAGCCAGUACUUGCGACUUAAUGGCUCACCGUGGUUUGUAUGUUAUGUCGAACGGGAGGAGCUCGAUAGCCCAUUUAGAAAUCCGGCCCGUUGCAUCACGGUUAUUUAUUAUGUCGUUGAGGGGUACUUCAGAGGCCACCGUGAUUGAACACUCUUGAAAGUAGUGUCGUAGUUUCCGGGAUGCCAUGAAGACCGCGUAUGCUAUCUUUUGAUAAUGUGGGUACCGUGACUUGCAUGGAGUGAGGAUAGUGGAUACGUAGUAUACCGGCUUUUGAAGCGGGAACUUAUGUCCGUCCGUCUCUCGUUCGACGACGAGCACUGCGCUUCCAACCUGGUGUGUUGCAGCUAUAUAUAAUAGCAUAGGUUCCCCCAUAUUUGGCGUGGCCAGGAUUGGAUUACUGGCCAAGAGGGCCUUUAUUUCUUCCAGUCCGGCCGUAGCCGCAUCCGUCCAUUCGAAGUUUUCGGUGCGACGAAGAAGGCGAUAGAGAGGUAGUGCCUUUUCUCCUAAUCGGGAGAUAAAGCGGCUUAAGGCAGCCACGCAUCCAGUUAAUUUCUGGAUUUGCUUGAGGUCUGUUGGGGUAGUCAACUGUGACAGGGCUCGGAUUUUAGCCGGAUUUGCUUCAAUUCCUCUGUUAGAAAUGAUGAAGCCCAAGAGCUUUCCGGCGGGUACGUCGAAAAUGCAUUUUUCCGGAUUAAGCUUGAUGUCAUAUGUUCGUAGAUUGUCUAACGUAAGCCUCAAGUCUCCUAUUAAAGAUUCAACGUGUCUGGUUUUGAUGACCACAUCGUCUACGUAUGCCUCCACUGUUUUGCCGAUUGUGUUUCGAGGCAUGUCUGAAUCAUGCGUUGAUAGGUUGCACCGACGUUUUUUAGCCUGAAAGGCAUGGUGUUAAAACAGAAGGGGCCGUAUGGAGUGAUGAAUGCCAUUGCGGCUUGAUCAGACUCCGCCAUCUUGAUUUGAUGGUAUCCGGAGUAUGCGUCGAGGAAGCACAAUGAGUCGUUUCCUGCAGUAGCGUCGAUGAUUUGAUCGAUGCGGGGGAGGGGAAGGGAUCCUUAGGGCAAGCCUUAUUGAGGUCCUUGAAAUCGACACAUAGGCAUCAGGAUUUGUCCUUCUUAGGUACCAUCACCAGGUUUGCUACCCAGUCCGGAUGUUUUAUUUCUCUGAUGAAUCCGGCCUCGAGUAGCUUGGCUAGAUCUUCUCCCAUGGCUUGUCGCUUAGGUUCUGAAAAGCACCGAAGAGUCUGCUUGACCGGCUUGUAUCCCUUUAGUAUGUUUAGGCUAUGCUCGGCCAGCCUGCAUGGGAUACCUGGCAUGUUUGAAGGAUGCCAGGCGAAGAUGUCCCAAUUCUCAUGCAAGAACUCUCGCAGUGCGGCAUCUACUGUGGGGUUCAGCUGUGACCCGAUGGAUGCUGUUUUUGUAGGGUCCAUCGGGUGGACCUGGAAUUUGACUAUUUCGUCCGCUGGUUUGAAAGAGGUGGACUUGGUUCAUUUGUCGAGUAUCACGCUGUCCCUAUCCACCAUGGAGCGCAACGAAGUUAGUUCUUCGGCCGCCAGGGCUUCGGAUAAUGCCCCAAGGGCCCGUGCGGCCGUUUUAUUUUCGGCGUGGAGUGCUACGUCCGGAUCACUAGCUAGAGUGAUGAUUCCAUUAGGCCCAGGAAUCUUAAGCUUCAUGUACCCUUAAUGGGGUAUAUAUAUAGCUUGGAAGCUCGUGAAUGCAUCCCACCCUAGAAGGGCGUGGUAUCCGCUACUGAACGAGGCCACUUGGAAUGUGAUUUCCUCGGACCUAUAGUUCUCCCGCGUGCCGAAUACCACAUCUAGUGUGAUUUUUCCCGCACAUCGUGCCUCCCGACUAGGGAUGAUUCCUCUAAAGGUCGUGCUGCUUUGCUCAAUGCAGCUCUUGUCUAUUUCCAAUUUGUUGAGAGUUUCCUCCUAGAUGAGGUUUAAUCCGCCGCCGCCAUCCAUGAGCACUUUAGUAAGCCGAAAGGCGUCCACAAUUGGACUAAAGACCAAAGCGUCUGGUGCUCGGGCUGUUCGGAAUUGAGGUUCGUCUUUGGCAUUGAAAGUUAUGGCCGUGUCGUUCCAUGGAUUUAUUGCUGCAACGUGGCAGACUUCGGUGAGGCUGCGGAGUGCUCGCUUACGCCUAUUAUUUGAGGUGAAAGUCUCGAAGACUGUCAGUAUUGUAUUGAUAUUUUCCGCAGGAUGGUGCUCUGCGGUAUUGUUGAUGAGGAGAUCCUCGCCACUCUUGGCCACCUGCCAGAGUAUCCAACAUGCUCUAAGGCUGUGUGUUGGUAUGGUAUCCGGUGUACUGUGAAUUUUGCAUGGCCCAUUGAGCCAUCCCUCCAAUACGGUUCCAUGCCCUGUAGUGGGCUUUUGUUUCUUUGUAAUUGGAUCGGGUGACUUGCGAGAGUGCACCCUUUUAGUUCGGACGAGGGGUUUAGUGAGAGCCAGAGGAUCCUAGAAUCUUGUUUGGGUUUUCUAGGCACUUUCCAUUGCACAAUACUUCUGUACUAUGGCCGCCAAAUCAGCGAAGUGUGCUAUGUCACGGCGACUUGUGGCGUUCAGGAUUCCCUUGUCCGUGCAAUUUUUGUAAAAGAAUGAAAUUGCGUCUUCCUCGUGAUAGUCCUUAACCUUGCUCAUUACAAGGAGGAAUCUAGCCCAGAAGUGAUGUACUGUCUCUUGGGGCUCUUGUCUAAUGUGGAAAAGAUCACUUGUGUCUGGGUGAGUGGGUGGUGAGGGAGUCCUAGAUUAGGGGGUAUCUGGACAGCCGGACCAUGUACAUCGUCCGGACUAUUGAAGCGUGAAGAUACAAGACUCAAGACUCCAUCCCGUGUCCGGAUGGGACUCUCCUUUGCGUGGAAGGCAAGCUUGGCGAUCCGGAUAUUGUGUUUCCUUCCUUGUAACCAACUCCAUGUAAACCCUAACCCUCUCUGGUGUCUAUAUAAACUGGAGAGGUUGGUCCUUAGAAGGCCGAUCACAAUUACAAUCAUAAUCAUCAUAGGCUAGCUCCUAGGGUUUAGCCUCUAUGAUCUCGUGGUAGAUCUACUCUUGUACUACCCAUAUCUUCAAUAUUAAUCAAGUAGGAAGUAGGGUUUUACCUCCAUCGAGAGGGCCCGAACAUGGGUAAACAUUGUGUCCCUCGCUUCCUGUUACCAUCAGCCUAAGACGCAUAGAUCAGGACCCCCUACCCGAGAUCCGCCGGUUUUGACACCGACAUUGGUGCUUUCAUUGAGAGUUCCUCUGUGUCGUCGCUGCAAGGCUUGAUGGCGCCUUCAAUCGUCAACAACACGGUCCAAGGCGAGACUUUUCUCCCCGGACAGAUCUUCGUGUUCGGCGGCUUCGCACGGCGGGCCAAUUCGCUUGGCCAUCUGGAGCAGAUCGACAGCUACGCCCCUGGCCACGAGGUCAGGUUCGGAAACUUGAACUACACGGCGAAUAUUCGCGGAGACUUGAUCUUCGACGAAUUCGGGCCUGUGCCAGGAGCACCAGACAAUCUCGAUGAGCACGGCCUAGACCUGCUGCCAGACAAUGUUCGGGAUAUCACCCCUGCAGUAGCCCUGGACCUAAAGCCGGAGCAGGCUGUGUCGCCUAAGGACGGUGGGAUGGGCCCCGCCCCGCAGGCUGCACUCUCAGUGGUGGUAGAGCCGAACACAAGCCUCACUUCUGAGGAAGCCUGUAACUCUGGGCCCCCGGACUCGUAUCCAGUUGUUGAUUCCAGUCUGCGCACUCUCGAGCCAGCCGAGCCAGGUUGGGCUUCGGUGAUGGAGUUUACCGCCGCGGACAUCUUCCAGCACUCGCCCUUUGGCGACAUGCUGAACUCAUUAAAGUCUCUCUCUUUGUCAGGAGGCUCUUGGCCGAACUAUGUCCGGCUUGAGUAGGAAGCAGGCGACGAAGCAAUUCGCUGCCCACCCACCACCCACUUCAUUGCCACGAUCGAUGACUUAACCGACGUGCUUGACUUCAACUCCGAAGAUAUCAAUGGUAUGGACGACGAUGCAGGAGAAGAACAGGAACCACCGUUCACAGGGUGGUGGACAGCCACCUCCUCAUACAAUACAUAUAUGGUGGACACUCCGAAAGAAACCAACGGUGAUGAGGCAACGUAGGAUAACCUUCAGGGAGAAAAACAAAGCAUGGGCGCCGUCGACGCCGCUCCAAGCCCCGCCACAGCAAUACCGGCCCAGGAGACGGAAACAAUCCGGAUGGUGCCGAAGAGGAAUACAACCCUAACCAGCCUGCCUUCAAGCAGGCCGAACUGGCCACGGUGGAAUACUUGGAAAGGGACAACUAUACACCCCCCUCUGAGGACGAGGUAAGCCUCAGCAAUGACGAAUUCGGCGUGCUUGAAGAUCUAGUGGAACAAGUUCGCUUCAAGUGACGGCUCAUGGCAACGGCAAGGAGCCUGCAAAGGAAGCAACAGCAGCUUAAAGCUAACCAAGAUUCGCUCGUGGACAGGUGGACCAAGGUCCUGGCCACCGAAAAAUACGGGCUCGACCGCCCCGACAAAGGGCAUACACGGCACAACUGGCCACCUCAACCUAAGCAGGAGAACCCAAGGCACAUACCCCGACGUCAACACAUCACUACAGCCCAAGACAAUAAAAAGGACACACGAAGGGGCUUCCUCAAGCCUCAGCGCAACAAUCAUAAACGUCAAGUCAGGGAUGCCGGUGCCAAGUCCAGCAACUCCCAGUCUGGUCAGCAGACAAAGAACAGCUCAAGCCUAUCCAGCCCGAGCCACAAACUCGACCAACCAUGUGAAAUUCAUGGUACUCCUAGAAGGACAGCAAAGCAUACCAAUAGAGAAUGCUGGAUCCUCGAAACAAAGCGGCCGGUCGUGUGCCGAAAACAAUGAGGGGAGGCGUCUAGUCAAGAGACCCCCCAGAGCAUAAAAGUACGGCCGAUCACCCCCGAUCACACCAACCAUAGCAAUUCAAUUGCCGUACCCCUAGACCUAGUAGUCCGGGGGCUCCAUAAAUCCCUCGUGGGUAUGAAAACAUCUUCUAAAAGAUGCCAGGUGCAAAGGCCAAGUUUAGUGGCCCACCACUCUAACGGUUGUUUUCGGAUCACCAAAAAAAAAGCCACGCCAAAGAAUAAUUCUUCGGCACCUUCCCCUCAUACGGUAAUUUACCGUAUGCUAACGGGAUGAACCACGUUGACUAGGUCCCACGUGGUAAACCAUUAGGCCAAUGCCGUGUGAUAUAAUCACACUUACAGGCAAGGCCGAACCCCGCCCUUAGAGCGGAAACCAUACAGCUACCGGAGCAGCGAGUCGUGCAUGCCUAUCAAAAUUUUGAUACAACAGCCAACUAUCCGGACACCCACUGAGGAGUCCGCGCUACUUCACGGUAUAACGGCUGGGUCAACCAGGUUCCGAUCAGGAACCCUCGGAUCAACCGCAAGAGGACGUUCAGCUGUCUCCAGGCAUCUGCCUUUAUGAAAUAACUUUUGACGCAGAACAGGAUUGGCGACGUGGAAUCGGCCCGGACACAUAAAGGGCAGGAACAUGCAUGUGAACCCCCACAAAGAAGGCAGUCCAGAUUCACUUCAGAUCCACUCAAAUCCCCCUCCAGUCCGGCCAUUACAGGUUUCGUCAAAAACACCUCUUUUCAUAAUCAUAAUCGUACUCAUAUGCAUAGACAUAUCAUCCUACUACAAUGCGUAGACCUAAAUAACAAUUAUCGGCCGUCGUUUAUCAUCGACGCCUCUUUGCCAAAAACGGCAGCCACGCCUCGUGUUAUGCCCGAUUAUGCCGGGGGCUUCACAGUACGACAAUAAAGUCCGACCACCUUUUCGGUCGUUCGGCACCCCAAACUUAUAGCACUAUAUGCAUUAGCUCCGAAUCAUGUCUUGGGUCAUUGGUUGGGUUUGCCCGGAUCCCAUGUUUUGGUACCUUACGUUCCGUUCCAUCGGCUAAGGUAGCGCUGGGAGAACUACUGCGAUUGUGUCCCAGUUCUGCCGGAUGAGCACCUCAGUAGAGAAAGCCGAAAACUGACUGGCAUGAUAAAGCGAGAGCUGGUCAGCUGUUCGAGAGGUUGUAAAAUCCUUAAAGAUUUAUUCCGCAUAACGCCAUUAUAAAUGCAGAGUGCGACGAAUCGAUCUUCCGAUCAGGUGCCAAUAGAGCCCCUAGUUCGGCCUUCCGAACACUAGGGGCUGCGCCGAUCAUACUCGAACUCCUAUGGCUAAGUGAGAGUGGUAAAGCCCUAUAGUCCGAUUGCCUGGUUCGUGGUGAGGAACACCUCCUUAAAAGGACCCAACCAUGGGAUAAAGAGUGUUCAGAUAUGUCCCGAACACCCCCGUAUUUUUUUCGUGGGGGCAGAAGCCGACGACUGGCCAACUCUCAGGAUUUACAUACAAUAAGCAGCCGCACAGGAAGAACAUAUGUUCAAACAAAACAGGCAAUACAUAAUAGAAGUGCCAUUAUCCCAUAUUACAAAGAACGGCACGAAUGCCCUCAGGGAAAUAUAAUGUCUUUGGUACACUUAUCCGCCACAAGGCGGGCCCCCUUCAGUACACCUUCAUAGUACAGCUCGGGCUUGCGGUGCUCCUUACCCUCUGGCGGCCCCUCAGUCAUCAGCUUCUCCACGUCAAGCUUCCCCCAAUGCACUUUUGCACGGGCGAAUGCCAUGCGCGCACCUUCUAUACAGACUGAUCGCUUGAUAGCAUCAAGUCGAGGACAGGCGCCCACAAUCCGCUUCACGAGUCCGAAGUAACAGCUUGGAAUUGGCUCCGCGGGCCACAACCGGACAACCAAGUCCUUCAUGGCUAGUUUGGCCGCCUAGUGCAGUUCGACCAACUGCUUCAGCUGAUCGAUAAACGGCACCGGAUAGUUUGGCGCCAAAUACUGCGACCAGAAGUUCCUCUCCGCAGACUUCUUCUCCUCGGUCUGGUAGAAUUGGGCAGCAUCUGAUAUGCUGCGAGGCAGAUCCGCAAACGCCCCUGUAAAAACAAGAAUUCAGCUUGUCGCUUAGAGUUCUUCCCACUAUCAUGUAAAAAUGGCCAUGCAUAAAACAGGCCUUACCAGCCGCAACUUUUCGGGCCUCCUGAAUGUCCCAUACAACACCUCGGGCCUCUUCCCGAGCAUCUUCCGCGGCUUGGAGAGCUUGGGCGAGUUCAGAUUCUUCCCCUACUGGACUCUGCUCCAAGCCUUCGCUUUUCUUCACAACCUCCUGGAGCUGCCGCUCAGCUGUGAUGACCCUGGCCUCGUGUUUUUCACGAAGCGCCUGUUCGGCGGUAGCCUUCUCGUUGGCAUCAGCCAUAGCCUUCUUCAGUGCCUCAUAUUCGGCACUCUCUCCUAGGGCAUACAACACAAAUACUUUUCAAUAGGCACAAUUACUCAUUCGUGCCUAAUACAAGACAAUGUUUCAACAUACCUUUCUUGUCCUCUAAUUGCUUCUUCACACAGCCAAGUUCCUCCUCGGCCCGUUCCAGGCUCUGCUUCAGUUCGGACACUUCUGCAUUAUGAGCGGCCAUCUUCUCCGCAGACGCCUGUUUUCACACAAAGGGGUAUACGUCAUUAACAAAGGUUCCCACGAAAACAUAGGAUUUGAUCCCCUGCCCGGCUCUCUCUCUUUCACCGGACAGUGUAUAAGGGGCUACUACCCAUAUUAUGAUGAUUCCUCAAAGGUUUCUUAGAAAAAAUACCUCAAAAGCCUUUAUAAGGCCAAGGCAGGACUCAUUCAGCCCGCCCUCGGCAGACUGAAUCUUUUCAACCACUGCACCCAUGAGGGUUCGAUGUUCAUCGAUGAUAGAUGCGUUCUUUAAUGGUGUCGACAGACCACCUGGCAUCUCUGCUUGGACAGAGGUUGCCGGUGGAGUAGGUAAGCCUCCCACCGUCGGAGGUGGCUGCUCUCCCGAUCCUGGAGCCUUAGAGGUCUCCAGGACCUUGUUUGGCUGUGGGCCGAACCCCAGAUCGCCCCCGCCGUCGGCACGCUUGGGGGCCAUCGCUCCUGUGUGUCCGACUCCAGAGAUAUGCCCCCCCGGUCCGGGCCCCGUUGAGACGACACUUCAGUGUCACGCCUGGACUUUGGGGAAGGGGCCUUUGGAGGCGUCUCGCUCGCCAGGGCAUUUGAGCUAAGUGAAUCCUCCGAUGAGGACUGUCCGGCGCGAGACCUCACUGGGCUAUACAAAAUAUGGCAACAGUUAAAACUACUAUACCCAAACAAUCCUGGACGCAUAUGCAUGUCUGGAUUUCGUAUACUUACAACUUUUCCAGGGGCUGGGCCCUGGGAUCCCACUCCGGGCUGCUAUCGGCAGCCGUGGUGGAUGCCUCUGGGAGGGAACCUUUCCCCCUCUUGGGCGAUUCAGUCUCCAGGGAUGAGGAGGCCGUCCUUUUCUUCCCACCUCCAGAGUGAGGCUCGUCCUCCUCUGCUUCCUCCUCUUUGUCUUCAGAAGAAGGAUCGUCGCUGGAGUCUUCAGAUUUGGCGUCCAAAGCCUCGCGACGACGGAGGCCACUCCGGUUCUUUUUUACCUUCUUGGAGGCCUAUUUCUUUGGCGCCUCGUAAGGCGCAGGGACCAGCAUCUUCGUCAGAAGAGGUCCGGCCGGUUCCUCCGGCAGCGGGGCCGGACAAUGUAUCCGCUCCACCUUUUUUAUCCAUCCCUAGGGUUAUGAUAAAACACGAUAAAGAUGUCUCCCUCAAGACAUGCCAACUAAGGCAUGGAUGGACGGAGCGUAGCUAUGACUUACCGGACUUGCAGAAUGGGAUGAUUGAUACCCACGAUCCUCGGAGGAGCCCGGCCAUGAUUUGCUGGACUUAAAGAGCACCUUCCAGAUAUCCUUAUGGGAGGAAUCGUAGAGCUCCCAAAGGGUCUGGUGCUCGGUUGGGUCGUACUCCCACAAGUUGCAGGCUCGACGCUGGCAGGGGAGAACCAGGCGAACUAACAUCACCUGGACUACGUCGACGAGCUUGACGUCCUUGUCGACCACGCUCUUAAUGCGCGUCUGGAGCAGCGACAGCUCAUCGAACGAGGACCAGUUCGGGCCCUUCUUGGGCCAGGACGUGAGCCGUAGUGGGGCUUUGGAUCUGAACUCUAGAGCUGCAGCCCACUUUCUGCCACGUGGCUCGGUGAUAUAGAACCACUGCUGCUGCCACUCCUUGAUGGAGUCGUUGAAGGCACCCGUCGGCCAAACGACCUUGGGCAUCUUGCUCACCAUGGCACUGCCGCACUCGGCAUGCUCGCCACUCACCACUUUGGGCUUCACAUUGAAAAUCUUCAGCCACAGGCCGAAGUGAGGCGAAAUCCGGAGAAAGGCCUCGCACACGAUGAUGAAUGUCGAGAUAUUGAGGAAAGAAUUGGGGGAAAGAUCAUGAAAAUCAAUCCCAUAGUAAUACAUGACUCCACGAACAAAUGGGUGAAGGGGAAACCCGAGCUCGCGGACAAAAUGGGGAAGGAACACGACUCUCUCGUGAGGCUACGGAGUAGGGAUGACCUGUCCCGCCGGUGGGAGACGGUGGCCGAUCUUCUUGGCCAGAUACCCGGCCUCCCGGAGCCUCUUGAUAUCCUAUUCCUGGACAGUGGAGGCCAUCCAUC